rnacentral:rRNA from 1 species
UACGAAGGGGGCUAGCGUUGCUCGGAAUCACUGGGCGUAAAGGGUGCGUAGGCGGGUUUUAAGUCAGAGGUGAAAUCCUGGAGCUCAACUCCAGAACUGCCUUUGAUACUGAAAGUCUUGAGUAUGGGAGAGGUGAGUGGAACUGCGAGUGUAGAGGUGAAAUUCGUAGAUAUUCGCAAGAACACCAGUGGCGAAGGCGGCUCACUGGCCCAUAACUGACGCUGAGGUGCGAAAGCGUGGGGAGCAACAGG